rnacentral:tRNA from 1 species
GCCGGAGUGGCGGAAUUGGUAGACGCAGCGGACUCAAAAUCCGCCGGACCUUGGGUCUGUGGGAGUUCGAGUCUCCCCUCCGGCA